UACGUAGGGCGCGAGCGUUGUCCGGAAUUAUUGGGCGUAAAGAGCUCGUAGGCGGCUUGUCGCGUCUGCCGUGAAAGCCCGUGGCUUAACUACGGGUCUGCGGUGGAUACGGGCAGGCUAGAGGCUGGUAGGGGCAAGCGGAAUUCCUGGUGUAGCGGUGAAAUGCGCAGAUAUCAGGAGGAACACCGGUGGCGAAGGCGGUUCUCUGGGCAUGUCCUGACGCUGAGGAGCGAAAGUGUGGGGAGCAAACAGG
rnacentral:rRNA from 1 species